rnacentral:rRNA from 1 species
CGCGCGCUACACUGAUACGUUCAACGAGCUCCUUGACCGAGAGGCCCGGGUAAUCUUUGAAACCGUAUCGUGAUGGGGAUAGAACAUUGCAAUUAUUGUUCUUCAACGAGGAAUGCCUAGUAAGCGCGAGUCAUCAUCUCGCGUUGAUUACGUCCCUGCCCUUUGUACAC